rnacentral:lncRNA from 1 species
AGCUAAACCCCGGUCCUCACAGUUCAGCACGUUGCAAUCCUGUGUCGUUCCGUCCAAUCUAAUCCAAUCUCAAGGACCCCAGUUCCUGAGCAACCCUGGCUUGGCUCGGCCAAAGGGAAGCGUCUACAGAAUCUGAGUCUAGAAUGCCCGGAGGUCUGUACUUCUUGCUGUUUUCAGGAGAUUCAACUGCAAAGCCCUCCCCAAGUCAUCCACAUUGGCUCACGUUUCUGUGCCCCACCCUUCCUGCCUGGGAGGACCCUUCUUGUUCAGCCAAAAAAGCAACCUGAGGGUGGUGUGGUAGCAGGGACUCACCCAUUUCUCUUUCCAUCUUCUGUCGCGGAUGCAACCCUGGAAGGAAGACCUCAGGACGAUGAUCAUCUUCAUAGGAUUCCCGACCUGUGCCUGGCUUUGUCCUGAAUAUUAGCCUUGGCAGCCUGGCCUGGGCUCCGAUGGUGGAUGAACUUGGCUUUCCACGGGCUGCCACCUCCAGCCUGCGCUGUGGAGAGACCAGGUCCUCGGAACAGUAUUUUAACCUUGUCCUCCUUUCCCUUCCAGGGUUUACCAAGACAUAGCGGGUGUCAUAGAUGUGAAAAAGCUUCUGCUAUACCAGGGUCAGGAACGGAGCAAAACUGAAAACCGCACAGGAUGUGGUCUGCCAGGUGCCAGCAUCACAGCUCAAAUCCUUAAGAAGCUCCAGCCGCAGGCACGGAAAUAAACAGCUUCUCCCUGCCCUGUAUACGUCUCCGAUUUUACCCAGGAUGGGGCUGAGGAAGCAACACAGAUUCCCAAACGUUACUUUUUUUUUUUUAUUUUGCUUGAGAGCCAAGGCAAUAUUAGACAAGCCUUACUCCCUAAUUAGUGCCUGACAAGAACCAUAUCUCUGUCCCAAUCCUUCUAUUCAAAGUAGGCACAAUUUGCUUUUACCAAAUGUAAAACUCAUGUCAAAGCCAUGCUGUGAGUAUUUACACCAGAGAAAUCGGCAAAUGCUACACGUCGGGGUUGUUUUUUGUUUUUCUUUUUGCUUUUUUUUUCAGAGAGCUGAUUGUCAAGACUUUACCAGCACACUGCUGGUAAAUUUCCAAAGGCCAAUUUAAAGAAAUUUUUUUAACAGAACAUGUAAAAAAAAAUCAACGUGAAGUCAACAUGCUCCAGGGAAAUCAGACAAUUGAUAAAGCAUGUCUAUUUCUGUAGUGUAUACUCCAGCCUGUUUCCCCCUCCUACCUCAGGUACCGUAACCAGCAUCUGAAGUCUUAUAUUCAAAUUUCCCUUGCACUUUUGUAAAUAUAGUGUUCUCUCAUCGAUGUACCUAUUUGGUGUGUAUGUAUAUGUGUGUGUAUAUAUAUAUAUGCUAUCAUUUAAAAAUUGUAUUUAUUUAUUUAAGGUGGGU